AAGUAGGAAAAGAACGCAUAGCCAGUAACUCUCCCAACAGAACUGGAUUCGUGCCUGGGGUGAUUCAGGAUGUCCAGUUAAGCUGGGAAAUACUGAUUCCACUGAUCCCCUUCAUUCACUCAGAGCAGACCGAAGACUGUGAGACUUCCUCCCCACAGUGAGCUAAAAGGACGCUUUUGUCAGAGUGGGGAAAUAAAAGGGCUUUAUGGGAAGGAAGAUAAGAACAGAUGAGUCAGAGGUUUCUGCUUAAUGGUGGUACAGCCAAGCAGACAGGCAAGUAAGUGGCCAUACUGCUACUGCCUCAUGUAGGAUCCGGCAGGCUGGUGGGUUAUCAGUCCUCACGUGGGACCCUCCCACCAUGGCAGCUGAGCACAUCCAAGCUGGGGGAUCCUGAAGAGACCUUCACCUGGGUGCCACGUGGAAGAUUGGCCAGCACCAUUUUGACUCCUGUGGAUGGGUGAGUGUUUUGCCCACCCCCACCCCAAUAACAUCAGCACCCAAACUGCACCUGGUCACCUGUCUACAUUCAGAUUUAGAUGAAAGCCACACCAUGGAGGCAGCCAGAGGCCCAUGGGAGAUGUCUGGAUUCGCAGAGGAAUAGCUCCAUGUGAUGCAAACCUUGACUAAUGGGAACAGGAAAAGGGAGGAAACCAGGAAGAUAAAUCUCCCUCCCUUCUCAUUGCUCCUUGCAACCCUUCCCACUUGAAGCAUGACCACAUUUAAUGAACAACCUGCUGUGUCUCUUGGAAGCUUGCUGCAAGGCAGCAAUCAGCACAAUAACAUUGUAUUGUAUCUUCCUCUGCUUCACUUCUCUUCCUCCCUCACCCUCACUGCCCUGAGCUGGCACAUCCCAAAGAAAGCAUUACCACAUUAA
rnacentral:lncRNA from 1 species